CUUUAAGCGAGGAGGAGGCUACUUUAGUUAAUACCUAGAGAUAGUGGACGUUACUCGCAGAAUAAGCACCGGCUAACUCUGUGCCAGCAGCCGCGGUAAUACAGAGGGUGCGAGCGUUAAUCGGAUUUACUGGGCGUAAAGCGUGCGUAGGCGGCUUAUUAAGUCGGAUGUGAAAUCCCCGAGCUUAACUUGGGAAUUGCAUUCGAUACUGGUGAGCUAGAGUAUGGGAGAGGAUGGUAGAAUUCCAGGUGUAGCGGUGAAAUGCGUAGAGAUCUGGAGGAAUACCGAUGGCGAAGGCAGCCAUCUGGCCUAAUACUGACGCUGAGGUACGAAAGCAUGGGGAGCAAACAGGAUUAGAUACCCUGGUAGUCCAUGCCGUAAACGAUGUCUACUAGCCGUUGGGGCCUUUGAGGCUUUAGUGGCGCAGCUAACGCGAUAAGUAGACCGCCUGGGGAGUACGGUCGCAAGACUAAAACUCAAAUGAAUUGACGGGGGCCCGCACAAGCGGUGGAGCAUGUGGUUUAAUUCGAUGCAACGCGAAGAACCUUACCUGGCCUUGACAUACUAGAAACUUUCCAGAGAUGGAUUGGUGCCUUCGGGAAUCUAGAUACAGGUGCUGCAUGGCUGUCGUCAGCUCGUGUCGUGAGAUGUUGGGUUAAGUCCCGCAACGAGCGCAACCCUUUUCCUUACUUGCCAGCAUUUCGGAUGGGAACUUUAAGGAUACUGCCAGUGACAAACUGGAGGAAGGCGGGGACGACGUCAAGUCAUCAUGGCCCUUACGGCCAGGGCUACACACGUGCUACAAUGGUCGGUACAAAGGGUUGCUACACAGCGAUGUGAUGCUAAUCUCAAAAAGCCGAUCGUAGUCCGGAUUGGAGUCUGCAACUCGACUCCAUGAAG
rnacentral:rRNA from 1 species